ACCACCAGCUAAGGUCCCUAAUUAUAACUAAGUGGGAAAGGAGGUGGAGAUUCACAAACAACUAGGAGGUUGGCUUAGAAGCAGCCAUACCUUUAAAGAGUGCGUAAUAGCUCACUAGUCGAGAGUCUCUGCGCCGACAAUGUAACGGGGCUAAGUUAUAAACCGAAGCUGUGGAAUCCGUAAGGAUUGGUAGGAGAGCGUUCUGUAGGCCGUUGAAGGAGAAGGGUAACCGACUCUGGAGGUAUCAGAAGUGAGAAUGCAGGAAUAAGUAGCGAGAAAGGGGGCGAGAAUCCCCCUCGCCGGAAGACCAAGGUUUUCAGGGUAAAGCUUGUCUUCCCUGAGUAAGCCGGGACCUAAGCCCAGGCUAUAAUGCGUAGGCGAAUGGAAAACAGAUUAAUAUUUCUGUGCCAGUCAUAUAUUGUGAUGGAGGGACGCAGAAGGGUAUGCGCGCGGACGAACGGAAGUGUCCGUAGAAGUAUGUAGGAUGACUUGAUAGGAAAAUCCAUUGAGUUAUAUCUGAGGUAUGAUAUACAGUCGUAAGAUGAAUGCGCAAAUCCCACGCUGCCAAGAAAAGCUUCUAACGUUAAUAUUUGACUGCCCGUACUGCAAACCGACACAGGUGGUCAGGAUGAGAAAUCUAAGGCGGACAGGCUAACUCUCGUUAAGGAACUCUGCAAAAUAACCUCGUAACUUCGGGAGAAGAGGAGCCCUUGAGGGUCAGUAUCCACGCGAUACAAAGCGCUCGAGGGUCGCAGUGAAGAGGCUCAAGCAACUGUUUAACAAAAACACAGGUCUAUGCUAAGCUGGAAGGCGAUGUAUAUGGGCUGACACCUGCCCAGUGCUGGAAGGUUAAGAGGAGGAGUGAGAGCUCCGAAUUGAAGCCCCAGUGAACGGCGGCCGUAACUAUAACGGUCCUAAGGUAGCGAAAUUCCUUGUCGGGUAAGUUCCGACCUGCACGAAUGGUGUAAUGAUUUGAGCGCUGUCUUGACGGGAGGCCUGGUGAAAUUGUAUUACCGGUGAAGAUACCGGUUACCUACAGUAGGACGGAAAGACCCCAUGGAGCUUUACUGUAGCUUGGUAUUGGGUUUUGGCAUUGCAUGUAUAGGAUAGUUGGGAGACUGAGAUGAUAUGGCGCUAGCUGUAUCGGAGUCAUCGGUGGAAUACCAACCAUUCAAUGCUGAAAUUCUAAUCUGUGGUUUGUAGCCACGGAGACAGUGCUAGGUGGGCAGUUUGACUGGGGCGGUCGCCUCCGAAAGAGUAACGGAGGCGUUCAAAGGUUCUCUCAGGUUGGAUGGAAAUCAACCAUAGAGUGCAAUGGCAUAAGAGAGCUUGACUGCAAGACUGACGGGUCGAGCAGAUGCGAAAGCAGGACAUAGUGAUCCGGCGAUUCCGAAUGGAAGGGUCGUCGCUCAACGGAUAAAAGCUACCCUGGGGAUAACAGGCUGAUCCUACCCGAGAGUCCAUAUCGACGGUAGGGUUUGGCACCUCGAUGUCGGCUCAUCGCAUCCUGGGGCUGGAGAAGGUCCCAAGGGUUGGGCUGUUCGCCCAUUAAAGCGGUACGUGAGCUGGGUUCAGAACGUCGUGAGACAGUUCGGUCCCUAUCCACUGUAGGCGUUAGAAUAUUGAGAAGACCUGUCCUUAGUACGAGAGGACCGGGAUGGACAAACCUCUGAUGUACCAGUUGUCACGCCAGUGGCACAGCUGGGUAGUCACGUUUGGAAUAGAUAACCGCUGAAAGCAUCUAAGCGGGAAACUAACUUCAAGAUAAGUAUUCUUUAAGAUACCUUCGAGCCUAGGAGGUUGAUAGGUUGGGGGUGUAAGUGCAGCAAUGCAUUUAGCUGACCAAUACUAAUUAUCGAAGUUUUAAUC
rnacentral:rRNA from 1 species